GCGCUCCCCCCAGCUCCCCCGCAGCCCGGGCUCGCCGGGGGCCCGUCGGGGCGCAGAGGUGAGGGGCGGGAGGGACAAGCGGGGCCGGGCAGGGGCCGGGGGGCGAGCAGAAAGGAGGGCUGGGGGGGACGGGAGGGGAGCUGCGGGCGGAGGGCUGAGCGCUGAGGAGCGCGGGGGCUCUGUCCCCGCCGGGCCCCGGGAGCGGGCAGAGCCCGUCGGGGCCGCACCUGCAGCGCAGCCCGGCCGCUGGGCACGCGGGGACGGGCGGCCGGGGGAAGCCGGGCACAUCCCCAGCCAAAGUGCCGCCGCCCGACCCCGGGGCUGGAGCGGAGCGGGGGCCCCCGGCCAGUGGGGAGAGGAGCCCGAGGGGAAAAACCCUGCGAGGAAGGACGAAGGGAGCUGCCCGCGGCGUCCGGCCCCGGCUCGCCUGAAAGCCCCCAGGCUCGAUCCGUUCAGCCCCGGACCAGGGAGGGCCGCAGCGCCGGCGGCAGCGCGGUGCCAGUCCGGCGGUGGCACAGCCCCGCGUCGAGGCUGGAUUCGCUUCGCAGCGCUCCGGCGAAGCAGAGAGGCCGGGGAGCGGGACAAGCGCCCGGGGGCUGGGGAGACAGCCAGCAAACGUGGCCGGGGACUUUAGAGUCUUGGUGGGGGAACGGAGAGGCCGGCCUGGGGCUGGGAGUGGGGCCGCGGGGGCUUGCACGUCCCAGAGGGCAGCAGCGAUUAGGGGGCUGGAGGGGGGGGGGGGGGAGCCGCGGCACGGCUGGAGGCCGUUCCCGGCAGGUCCCCUGCUCCCGGAGGAUCCCCUGAUCCCUGAGGGCCCCCUGAUCCCGAGGGGUCCCGUGCUCCCGGGGGGUCCCGUGCAGCCCCCAGCGAGUGGCCAGGCCGAGGGCUCCGCACCCGGGCUGUGCCCGACGGGGCGCCUCUUCCCGCUGCGGCUGUAGCCACGAAGCAGGGAGCGGGAAAAGGGAGAGAGCCGGGAGAAAGGGAGAAAGUCUGGGCAAGCAAAGCACGGGCAGCAACCCCUUGGCAACCUCCUCUGCUGGGGCGCUGGGUUCGGGGCCCUUCUUAAUUCCCAGGUAUUUUUACCUCCCGCGGGAGAGGCUGCCCCAGGGCCGGGCACGUCCCGGGGCCUCUUUGCUGCUCGCAUUCACGGCUUCUUCGUUUCCCCCCGCACCCCGGGAGCUUUGCUUCGUGGGGUCCUAACGAAAUCCGUUCCCCUCCUUCGCUGCUCGCAGCCAGGUAGCAGCGCGGGGCCGCACCGGGACACCCUGUGCCCCUGCUCCCGGCACCGAAAAUGCCCCGGCCGGGAACCGCAGCGGCGGAGAAACAACCCCCCGAUCGCGUCCCGUUCUGCCCUUGUGCCUUCAGCGGCAGGAACAUAUGCUCAAAUAUGUACGGGUAGUCUAGAUUUUUCUCUGCAAAUAUUUUUACCGCAUCCAAAGAUAAUAUUUCAACAGAAGAAUCAAGCCCCGCAGGCUACAGACAGGGCAGCUAUAUAUAACCCGCUUGCUCACUCGGGCUCUCGGCGCACCGCUCGGGUUAUGCAAGCCCCGGUGCGGCGGUAGCCACCGGCGCUCCCCACGGCUCCGCCCGCCCCGUCGGGGGCAGAUCCCCCGGGACUUCGCUGCGGCCGCCCGACGGAGGCACCGGCACCGGCACCGGGGCUGGGCCGGGGACAGGGGC
ensembl:lncRNA